UUUUACCAAUAACUACAAAAUGACACUACUAUUUACUAAUAGCAGACUCCAAAACUAAUAGCUCAUGCGGCCAAUAAUUGAAACAGGCUGUCAGCCCAUUUUAUAGAAAAAACACUCAAAUAUUAAAAAAAUUACGAAACAUGCCACUGAGACUCACAUAACCCAUUUCUCCCAAAAUCAGAACGGUUCCAAAAUCGAAACCAUCCCAAAAUCCAAAUCCUCCCUAAAUCGAUCUAGGGCUCCGACAAAGGUAGGGGACGAAGCAGUUGGCGGAUUGAGGCGGCGAAGCAACUGGCGAAGCGAGGCUGCGAAGCAACCGGCGAAGCGAGGCUGCGAAGCCAGGGAAGUGAGGCGGCGAAGGGAGGCUGCGAAGGGAGCAUCAAAUCUCUGAUUCUCUUUCGCUUUCCUUUCACUAUAUUUCUAAGCUUGGCUUAUACCAGCUCAUGGAUCCCUUCGAUUUGGUGCAAAAAGGGCUCAGCAACAUUUUGUUUGUAGGAUGGAGCUAAUGAAAGCAAUGCUGAUGUGAGCAAACGCAAGAAGGCCAGGCUAGUAUACUACUGGGGGUCAGUAUACUACUGGGGAUCAGUACACUACUGAUCGAGGGUCAGUAUACUACUGGGGGUCAAUAUACUACUGAGGGUCAGUACUCCAAGAAAUCCUGCUGGAGAAACUUCUUCACCAUGAGAAGAUGUGAAAUUCAAUACAACUUGUAUGUGCAAGCAGCAAAGCCAGAAAUAAAUGAUAUAUUGUUCAAGUUUCAUAUUGUAAUAUUUAUAAAUAGUUUUUGGAAUUAUUAAAUAAAUGAGUUGUUUAUAAGAAAAACAAAGAUGGAAUAUAGAAAUAUUAUUU